rnacentral:lncRNA from 1 species
UGGCUUAGGGUGGGAUUACAUACGCCUCCUGCCACAUCGGAUUUCCUUCUAUUUUGUCAGGGGUGGCAUCAUCCAGUGAGUAAAUCUGUUAGUGAUCUCCCUCGCAUAACCUAGGAAUUCUCUCAGGAUCCAUUUUUCCAGUAGUUUUGAGAAAGCGACCAACAACAGCAAAGAGAGUAGUUCUUCCAUUCCAAGAGCAGCCAUCUUGCUUAACUGACAAACUAGAGAGAACUGCAAGGACUCAGUACAUCCCUGGCACAGUCCAUUCUCUCUCACAGCAUAUUGUAUGAGACUGUGUGAGUGCUGCUUCCACGCUACACUAAAAACCCAUGGUCCCUGCAUUAUUUGAGCAACUGACAAGCUUCUGAAGUUCAGGUUCGCGAACGCUGAGAGCAGCACCCAGUGGAUUUGUGGCAGGUUUUUGAUGAACCAAGCUGGCUGGUGUCGCCUCAGUUUGUCUAAAUUACCAAGGACCGCUGGAAUUUCCCUGGGAAUAUGUUUCGGGAAAGGUCAGAAACUCUUCAGUCGUCUUCACGCUUCCACUCAGUAGCAACGUUUUUGCACACUCAUUGACUAUCAACUGGUUGUCUAUGACUCAAAUUACAUAAUGAAUCCAGCACAUAAAUUAUUUACUCAGAUUUAAUGCCAGCAACUGUUAUCUUUGUAUUUUUUUCCCCUCUGCCAGCUAAUCUGGCUCAUUUCAUUGGAAUUUUGGUCAUGCCCAUUCUCCUUCUGCACUAAAUUAACUCCAUAACGUAGUAUAAACAGAACAAGCUUGUGUGUGAUAUGCUUAACUGUUAAUUUACCUAAUUAAACUAAUUCAAUUAAAUCAUUUACAUCUUUUUGGUAACAUGCCAGUUGAUACCACAGCAGAAGUGGGAUGUUUCAGAAGAUGAUUGUUCAGCAAAUGAAUGGAAAAAAAAAUAAAAGGAAAACAAAAUGAGACAACCGUCCAAAUCUCUUGGCUUGAAAAUUAAAUGAUACUGAAAAAAUGCAGCUUUCACGGGGCACUGUGAUUAGAUAUUUUUCUGAAAUCAAUUUUCUCUACAAAUUGGUAUUUUAACAGAGUGAUCACAAU